ACCAGCAGCCAUAUCACCCUGCAACUCACAACUAGCAGCCCACUGAAGCUCAGCAGGUGUGAGCCAGGUCAGUACCUGGACAGGAGACUUCCUGAAAAAAACUAGGCUGCUGCUGGAA
rnacentral:rRNA from 1 species